rnacentral:rRNA from 1 species
AUGGGCAACACCUUCCCGCUUGACCAUGAAUUACUGGAGGACUACGACCUUGAGGAAGAAGAUGAAGUGGACAUCGAUGGAGAGCCUUUGUUUGAUUACGAGCUCUCAACCCAAGCCGGCGCAAACAAGAAGCGCAAAAGCAAGCGGACAAAGGCAUACAGGCAGCCGGAGGACAAGCUCCUUUGUGAAUGUUGGAGGGACAUUGGACAAGACCCCAAGGACGGUGCUGAACAAAAGGCAUCAACCUUUUGGCUAUGAGUUCAUCAUGAAUUUCAUGAAUGCGAUAAGUUCACGCCGUAUCAAAUGGAGAGCAAGCGCGGGUGGGUGUCCCUCUCGAAAUGUUGGAAGGUGAUACAACAAGAGUGCAACAAGUUUUGUCCAUGA